rnacentral:rRNA from 1 species
AACGAACGCUGGCGGCAUGCCUAACACAUGCAAGUCGAACGAGACCUUCGGGUCUAGUGGCGCACGGGUGCGUAACGCGUGGGAAUCUACCCUCAGGUUCGGAAUAACUCAGAGAAAUUUGAGCUAAUACCGGAUGAUGACGUAAGUCCAAAGAUUUAUCGCCUGAGGAUGAGCCCGCGUAGGAUUAGGUAGUUGGUGAGGUAAAGGCUCACCAAGCCGACGAUCCUUAGCUGGUCUGAGAGGAUGAUCAGCCACACUGGGACUGAGACACGGCCCAGACUCCUACGGGAGGCAGCAGUGGGGAAUAUUGGACAAUGGGCGAAAGCCUGAUCCAGCAAUGCCGCGUGAGUGAUGAAGGCCUUAGGGUUGUAAAGCUCUUUUAACCGGGAUGAUAAUGACAGUACCGGGAGAAUAAGCUCCGGCUAACUCCGUG